rnacentral:rRNA from 1 species
GAACGGGGAGCAGCCCAGAGUCUGAAUCAGCUUGUGUGUUAGUGGAACGGUCUGGAAAGUCCGACGGUACAGGGUGAUAGUCCCGUACACCAAAAUGCACAGGUUGUGAACUCGAAGAGUAGGGCGGGACACGUGGUAUCCUGUCUGAAUAUGGGGGGACCAUCCUCCAAGGCUAAAUACUCCUGACUGACCGAUAGUGAACCAGUA